rnacentral:rRNA from 1 species
UACCAGACUCCUACGGGAGGCAGCAGUGAGGAAUAUUGGUCAAUGGGCGAGAGCCUGAACCAGCCAAGUCGCGUGAAGGAUGACGGCCCUACGGGUUGUAAACUUCUUUUGUCAGGGAGCAAUUGAGUCCACGUGUGGGCUUAGCGAGAGUACCUGAAGAAAAAGCAUCGGCUAACUCCGUGCCAGCAGCCGCGGUAAUACGGAGGAUGCGAGCGUUAUCCGGAUUUAUUGGGUUUAAAGGGUGCGUAGGCGGAAUAUCAAGUCAGCGGUAAAAAUUCGGGGCUCAACCCCGUCGUGCCGUUGAAACUGACGUUCUUGAGUGGGCGAGAAGUAUGCGGAAUGCGUGGUGUAGCGGUGAAAUGCAUAGAUAUCACGCAGAACUCCGAUUGCGAAGGCAGCAUACCGGCGCCCAACUGACGCUGAAGCACGAAAGUGUGGGUAUCGAACAGGAUUAGAUACCCCAGUAU